rnacentral:rRNA from 1 species
AAUACAACUCUCGGCAACGGAUAUCUCGGCUCUCGCAUCGAUGAAGAACGUAGCGAAAUGCGAUACUUGGUGUGAAUUGCAGAAUCCCGUGAACCAUCGAGUCUUUGAACGCAAGUUGCGCCCCAAGCCAUUAGGCUGAGGGCACGUCUGCCUGGGUGUCACGC